AAAAAGAUAAAAACAGAAAAAUAAAAACACCCCUCAGUAGGUGUUGAUUCUCUUUGCUUGAUAUUCUUUUCUUUUUCUUCUUUCUACUGACUUUCUUCAAAAAAUUAAGAACACCAAACUCUUGUUUCCAUGUUUCAAUCAUAGGAACUUUGAUCUCCAAUCUCUUGAACAUAAAUUUCUUUUCUUUCCUAUGAUAUUUCUUUCGAUGAGGAAGGGGUUUUGCAUAUGAUAUUUUCUUCUUUCCUCUCUUCCUCUUUUUCUUAAUCUCCUCCCUCAACUUUCUCUUUUUCUCUUUUCUUCUUUUCUUCUUUAUUUUUGCAUAUUUUUUCUUUUUUUCUCAACCAUUGCUUUUUUUUCCUCACUCAACCUUUUCUCCUUUAUCUUUACCUCUUUUAUUUCUAUCAUUUCCUCAUCAACAACCUUCUCUAUUUUUAUCUCUUUUCUAUUUUCUUCCUAUAUUUUCUCAUCAUUUCAUUCUAUCUUCUCCUCCUUUCUCUUUUCCUCAUAUAUCUCUAUCUCUUCUUCCUCUAUCUUUUCUUCCUCAAUAACCUUAUCAUUUUCAAAGAUAGUGGCUUGACAUUCAUCUUUAGGAUUAACUUCAGUAUUAACCCUAAUAAUACCAAGAGACUUCAACAUGCAAGAGAAUUGUUCCUGCCGUAAACGUUCUUCAGCUUCCCCCAAUGUUUCUCUUCGUACAAAAGAUUGUUUUUCAUGUAAACGUUGUUCGGCCUCCCCCAACGUUUCUUUCUAAAAAGAGAAUUGUUUCUUUUGUAAGCGUUGUUCAGCUUCCCCUAACGUUUCUCUCGGCAAAGAGGAUUGUUGCCCAAAUUGGCUUUGAUACAUAUUUGAAUGAGGUUCCC
rnacentral:lncRNA from 1 species